rnacentral:rRNA from 1 species
ACGGAAGGCAGCAGUAGGGAAUCUUCCACAAUGGACGCAAGUCUGAUGGAGCAACGCCGCGUGAGUGAAGAAGGUUUUCGGAUCGUAAAGCUCUGUUGUUGGUGAAGAAGGAUAGGAGCAGUAACUGGUUUCUAUUUGACGGUAAUCAACCAGAAAGUCACGGCUAACUACGUGCCAGCAGCCGCGGUAAUACGUAGGUGGCAAGCGUUGUCCGGAUUUAUUGGGCGUAAAGCGAGCGCAGGCGGAAUGAUAAGUCUGAUGUGAAAGCCCACGGCUCAACCGUGGAACUGCAUCGGAAACUGUCAUUCUUGAGUGCAGAAGAGGAGAGUGGAACUCCAUGUGUAGCGGUGGAAUGCGUAGAUAUAUGGAAGAACACCAGUGGCGAAGGCGGCUCUCUGGUCUGCAACUGACGCUGAGGCUCGAAAGCAUGGGUAGCGAACAGGAUUAGAUACCCUGGUA